AUCCAACGGCCCUUAGUGGCUGAUACCCCUUCAGGGAACAUUUUGUUAAAAAGACCCCCAACUCCUUUGUAUUCACACACGCAGUCCUUGGCUGGGACUGAAUUCCAAGAUUUUCUUUAUUAUUUAAAUUUGUUUAAACUUUGCUCUAUUUACAGAAUUGCCACUGCAUUGUUUUUGCUAUAAAAUCGUCCUUUGAACUCCAAGUCGGUCUGUUCCAAUUGCGUUAGUUUCAUAAUUUCACAGGCUUCGAAGUCGGUCCGUUCCAAUUGCGUUAGUUCCAUAAUUUCACAUGCUUCGCGUUGGUACCACUGUUGUUUAGGUUUACCACUGUUAGAUUUCCUAGUUAAUUACAAGACCGUAGACUCCUGUUGAAAUCCCAUUUAAAGCGUAACUUUCGUGUCGUAAGUCCACUUUUCGUG
rnacentral:lncRNA from 1 species